rnacentral:lncRNA from 1 species
GGGGCCGCUCCCCGCGCCGGGCCCCGCGGCGGGGCCGCAGCCGGGGGCCGAGGAGAUCGACAUGUCCCUGGAUGACAUCAUCAAGCGCCACAGGAAAGAGCAAACAGAUUCCAGCACCUCAGGCGACAGCAGGAGCCAGCAGGUCAAGAACAGGAGUUCAGCCUUCGGGUACGGGCGGCCCCCCCGUUACGGUGCCUGGAAGCAGAGGAAUUUGCAAGGACCUAACCGUUUCAGAAGAGGGUUUGGACAGCAACAAUACAAUAGGAGACAAUUCAGGAAUACUUUGCCUGGUCGCAAGAGAAGAGCAGCUGCUGCCUUCAAUGGAGUGAGCCCUUUAAAUCGCCAGGCAUCAGCUCAGGAGGGCAACAAGAACAGCAAUGCUUUUGCCAAAAGCAGCAGCGGGCAGCAGAAGGACCAGGCACAGCCAUCUCCAGGCCCCAAGAGAUUCAGAGCAGAUGCUGCCAGCACCCAGACCCCAGGGAAAAGGCCUUUCCGGCUAAACAGGGGACCAGCGUUCCAGCAGAAGCGGGCGCAGCAGUGGUUCUCCAAAGCCCGCUUCCAGAGAGGGCAGAUGGAUGCUCAAGGAGAAGGGAAACCGCCAAGGAUGAGAAGGUGGCAAGUGAAACCCAGCCCGGGAGCAAUUCUGACGGUUUCUGUGGUUAAUCCCCAGGCGGGCCAGAGCAGCGGGCCUGGAUCCAAGCGCCCGUUCCUGCGAAGCCAGAGACCCCCAGCACGGGUGACCAAGCCCCAGCCCAAGGGGGUGAUGCUGAGAUUCAACUUCCGUGCCAUGGCCAACCAGACCAGCCUGACGCUGGAUGAGAGGUUCUCUGGUCUGAGGAAUAAGAGGCGCUUUACAGCAGCCAGGAGCGCCGGACGGACGGUCACCAUGCCCUAGGACAGCGUGCUCGUCACAGGGACUGCCCCCAACAGUCCAGGCCCUGGCAGGGGCUCAAUAAAAGUCGCUAGAUUCCCUUUGAGAUAGCUGAU